AGAGGUCUACCACAUGCAGCAUUUUAAUGAAAUAAUAGUUUCUGCUUCUUGACACUGUUUGGGAAAUGGUCCAGAAGAAACAGAGUGGUGACCACACAGUGAUGCAGCUGCUCACGCUAAGGUGUUGUAGAUCAAUGGGAAACAGAAACACCCAAGAGAGGGUCCCUGGUUAUCUCCACAACUUCAAAAAGAGUGAUCAAAGGAUUGCAAACUGAUGUCUCUCAGACUGCAAAUAUGCACGCAGACUCUACUGUACCAUAGCAUGUAG
rnacentral:lncRNA from 1 species